rnacentral:rRNA from 1 species
UACGUAGGGUGCAAGCGUUGUCCGGAAUUAUUGGGCGUAAAGAGCUCGUAGGCGGUCUGUCGCGUCUGCUGUGAAAACUCAGGGCUUAACCCUGAGCUUGCAGUGGGUACGGGCAGACUAGAGUGCGGUAGGGGAGACUGGAAUUCCUGGUGUAGCGGUGAAAUGCGCAGAUAUCAGGAGGAACACCGGUGGCGAAGGCGGGUCUCUGGGCCGUAACUGACGCUGGAGGAGCGAAAGCCAUGGGGAGCG